rnacentral:rRNA from 1 species
GCUAUACAUGCAAGUCGAACGCGUUGGCCCAAUUGAUUGAUGGUGCUUGCACCUGAUUGAUUUUGGUCGCCAACGAGUGGCGGACGGGUGAGUAACACGUAGGUAACCUGCCCAGAAGCGGGGGACAACAUUUGGAAACAGAUGCUAAUACCGCAUAACAACGUUGUUCGCAUGAACAACGCUUAAAAGAUGGCUUCUCGCUAUCACUUCUGGAUGGACCUGCGGUGCAUUAGCUUGUUGGUGGGGUAAUGGCCUACCAAGGCGAUGAUGCAUAGCCGAGUUGAGAGACUGAUCGGCCACAAUGGGACUGAGACACGGCCCAUACUCCUACGGGAGGCAGCAGUAGGGAAUCUUCCACAAUGGGCGCAAGCCUGAUGGAGCAACACCGCGUGAGUGAAGAAGGGUUUCGGCUCGUAAAGCUCUGUUGUUAAAGAAGAACACGUAUGAGAGUAACUGUUCAUACGUUGACGGUAUUUAACCAGAAAGUCACGGCUAACUACGUGCCAGCAGCCGCGGUAAUACGUAGGUGGCAAGCGUUAUCCGGAUUUAUUGGGCGUAAAGAGAGUGCAGGCGGUUUUCUAAGUCUGAUGUGAAAGCCUUCGGCUUAACCGGAGAAGUGCAUCGGAAACUGGAUAACUUGAGUGCAGAAGAGGGUAGUGGAACUCCAUGUGUAGCGGUGGAAUGCGUAGAUAUAUGGAAGAACACCAGUGGCGAAGGCGGCUACCUGGUCUGCAACUGACGCUGAGACUCGAAAGCAUGGGUAGCGAACAGGAUUAGAUACCCUGGUAGUCCAUGCCGUAAACGAUGAGUGCUAGGUGUUGGAGGGUUUCCGCCCUUCAGUGCCGGAGCUAACGCAUUAAGCACUCCGCCUGGGGAGUACGACCGCAAGGUGAAACUCAAAGGAAUUGA